rnacentral:rRNA from 1 species
AUUGAACGCUGGCGGCGUGCUUAACACAUGCAAGUCGAUCGGUAACAGGUGUAGCAAUACAUGCUGACGAGAGGCGGACGGGUGGGGAAUAUUUGGGAAUCUGCCCAUCAGCGGGGGACAACCCGGGGAAACCCGGGCUAAUACUGCAUACGCUCUACGGAGGAAAGCCGGGGACCGCAAGGGCUGGCACUGAUGGAAGAGCCCAAAUCGGAUUAGCUAGUUGGCGGGGUAACGGCCCACCAAGGCGACGAUCCGUAGCUGGUCUGAGAGGACGAUCAGCCACACCGGAACUGAGACACGGUCCGGACUCCUACGGGAGGCAGCAGUGGGGAAUAUUGGACAAUGGGGGAAACCCUGAUCCAGCGACGCCGCGUGGGUGAAGAAGGCCUGCGGGUUGUAAAGCCCUUUCGGUAGGGACGAAAGCUCUUGCUCUAAUAAUGCAAGAGGUUGACUUAACCUACAUAAGAAGCACCGGCUAACUCUGUGCCAGCCGCCGCAGUAAAAC